CUGAAAAUAUAUCAUUGACUUUAGCUAUCACAUGGGCCAUUGAUUUUUGACGGCACUGCAUUCAGACUUGGAACUGACUCUAUUCACUAAUGUGUCUUAUCUCACCAUUGUUUUAGAUGUGCUUGGACAGGUUCUUGGCAUGUGAAUAUAACAGGACUCUCUCCUCUCCCCUUCAGCAAUCAAGAUAAUGUGUUACAACAGAAAAUAUGAUUGCUGCAUUCUUCCAUCACUUGCCACAAGCUGUAAAAGCCCGUGGAAUAACAUCCAUCACCUGUUCCAACCCUAAUACACCUUCCCUAUUAAGGAAUGGUUUGGUUUUAAUGACUGCAUUUAGCCGGAAUUGCUGACAAAACAAGCCCAAUUAAAGUAUGUAAAGGAACUCAACAGCACAGUUAAUGCUGCUGGGGUUGGAAGCAUGAACUUUGUGUGCAGCCUGCAGUGGAUUGAAUAAUCAAGGAUCAGCUCACCUUUUCCACCAUUAUCCAAUUUAGUAAUUUUUUUUAAAAUUAAGCAUCUGGCAUGGGAAUAUUUACCGGAGAAACUUUCCUUUUCUUACAAUAUGGAGAAGCCAUUGAGCCCAGCAAGCCCAUGCAGUUGAUAGAACAAUCUCAAUCCUCCUCUAAUUUUCCAUAGGACUGAUUCUUUCUGUAUUUCCAUCAAACUUUCUCUCGGUUCUACCACUCACCUACACACAAGAGGCAAUUUACAGUGGCUAAUUUAUUUACCAACCCAGAUAAAUUGGAUAUAGGAAAUCAACUGAACUGCACAGCGAAAACGCAUGAUGUCACAAGGAAGUGCAGACUCCAGAGGUAAGGAUUAAACCUGGAUCGCUGGAGGUGUGAGGCAGAACCUCUGAUAGCUCAGCCCCUGUGUUGCCUUCAGGACACAUGUGUCAUUCUUAAAACUUCAGAAAUCUCAAAAAAUGCUACAGAUUAAUUCAACCUGACUACAAGACGGACUCCUUUGAGUUAGUGGUAGAGAGGAGGUCAUUGAACAAACUGUUAUCCAGUAUGGACAAUCUGGCAUAUCCUCUCCAUGAUGUACUGAAUAAACAGUGGAGCACCCUUUCAAACAGACUCGUUCAGCUCCACAGUCACAAGGAUCGUUAUAGGAAAUCUUUCCUGCCAAAUGCAAUAAGCAUAUACAACAGUUCAUCUCUGUGUGACAGGAGAACACACAUCAAAGUACAAUAAUAUCUGUACACUGCAGGCUGCAUGCAAAGUUAUUUUGUACCUUAUUAUUGCAAAUUAUUGCACAUCGGUUCUCCAGAUUCUGGAAAAUUUUCAAUGGACUGGAAAAUUGAAAAGAUAAAACCCUUAUUCAAGAAUUUGGGGAGAAAAAUCAGCAGGAGAGCCCAACUUUAAACGCGUGGAAGGAAAUUACAAAGGACAUUUACAAAAUGGAGAAGAUAACAGCAUCUGUUAAUCAAUGAAACUCGGAGCCAUUCUCAGGUACCUCAACAUGGUUGAUCACAUGGCCGCACCAUCACUGUGGCGGCACCCUGUUUAUUCUGUCUUCACAAUAUGAGCCACUGGCACCAUUAAAGUUCUCUGUUGUGGCAGUUAUUGAAGUAACUCUGACAAAUUAGACUUUACAUCAAUGUUGUAACCCUUACAGUGAUAACAACUGCUUCAAAUCUCUAACUAAUCACAAAUUAAACCACAAGAAAUCAAUGUAAGAACACGUUUAAAUAACAAGGGAGAUGGCAGAACAAACAGAAAUAUUGAAAAAAAUGCUUUUUGCUUUUAUUCUUAAGCUACUGUCAGUGGCCUCGUUAUUAGCUACAUCAGUACACUUGCUCGUUUAUGCAAAUAUCCAAUCAACCAAUUACAGUGCAGCAACUCAAUGCAUAGAAGUAUGCAGACAUGGUUAAGAGGUUCAGUUGUUGUUCAGACCAAACAUCAGAAUGGGAAGAAAUGUGAUCUAGGUGGUUCUGACUGUAGAAUGAUUGUUGGUGCCAGACAAUGCGGUUUGAGUAUCUCAGAAACUGCUGAUCUCCUGAGAGUUUUACAAACAACAGUCUCUAGAGGUUACAGAAAUUGGUGUGAUAAACAAAAAAAACACCCAGAGAGUGGCAGUUCUGUGGGCAAAAACACCUUGUUAAUGACAGAGGUCAGAGGAGAAUACUUUUAUACUUUAUACUUUACUUUAUACUUUAUUGGCUGGACUGGUUCAAGCUGACAGGAAGGCAAUAGUAACUCAAAUAACUACAUGUUAGCACAGCAGUGUGCAGAAGAGCAUCUCUCAAAUGCACAACACAUGGAACAUUGAAAUGGAUGGGCUACAGCAGCAGAAGCCCAUACUGAGUUCCAAGGUGUACCAAUUAAGUGGCCAUUGAAUGUAUUUAGCUCAUAUAUUUUAUUUCAGAUUGUUAUACUGUAACUAGGUUGAACAUAUGCUAUUUAUUAAGUAGUAUAGUUUACAGUAUUUAUGCAGUUAUUAAAGAAAGCACAUUAAGUGGACCAACAUAAAAUUCUAAGUCUAUUCCAUUAGUGAGAAAGUUCAUGUUCAUUGGCUAUACCACUUUACAAGUGAAGUAAUGCACAGCUUCUCAUGAAUAAUUUUUAGACACAAAUAAACAUUAGAAAUAACGGCUUUAAAACAGAAUUAUAAACAGAUGCUUUUGGUGCUGAAGUACUCUCUUGGCAGAAGUUGGUGAGUUCAGAACAUAGUGUUACAGAGUAAAACAGCACAAAAUAUAACCUCAAUCCACCACAACCUAUGCUAACUGUUACACAAGUCUAUAAAGUAUAAUAUCAUUUGUCUACAUUAGUAACUCUGUCCCUUGGCUAUUCCAAAGGAGAUGGAGGAUGCCUCUUAAGUGCUGUGAUUUUAUCUGCCUUCACCAUCUCCUCUGGCAGUGCUUUCCAGAUAUCAAUCACUGUCUUUGUGAAAACCAUUCCUCUCUUUAUACUCUCAUGUUAAACCCAUGCCAUCUUGUGUUAGACGUGCCCGACAUGGGAGAAAGAUUUUUACUAUUUACCUGAUCUAUGCCUCUCAUGAUUUUAUAUACCUCUAUCGGGUCCUUCAGCUUUCUACGCCCCAGACUAUCCAAUCUGUCUUUCUAACCAAAGCCCUCCAAUCCAGGCAACAUCGUAGUGAAUCUCCUCUGCACCCUCUCUACACAGUCAUAUCUUUCUUAUAGUGUGAUGACCAGAACUACUCAUGAUACUGCAUGUGAUAAAGGUAAGCAUGCCUUAUGCCUUCUUCACCUCCUCAUCCACCAGUGCUAUCACUUACAUAGUACUAUGUAUCCAAGGUCUUUCUGUUCAUCAACAGUCCUUAACACUCUACUACUUUCUCUAUAUGCCCUAGUUUUGGUCAAUUUCCCACAAUUUGAUAGAUUUUAUUAGUUCAUGUAAAUCCAAUAUCUGGCAACCUCUCACUGGGGUUGAGGGGGAAUAAUAAACCAGCGGUGCUGGAACGGUGGAGCAGACUCGAUGGAAUGAAUGGUCUAAUUCUGGUCUUCUGUCUGAUGGUCCUAUUAUUUUUAAAAAAUCCUCAUUGAUAAAUUUAGUAAUCCAAAGAUCAGAGUAGAAAUUAAGGGCAGAAGAAUGGACAACAAGAAAGACUAAUUCAAAAAAUUGAAAAAAGCAAUUUGGUAGAAGAGAGGAAAACAUGAAUCACAUUAUUUUGGAGGAGACUCUUUGCUGAGCACUGGGACAACAGAAUCUGUCUCCCUCACUAUUGAGCUUAGAGGCCUUAAAAAUAGUGAUAUACCUACUGACAUCACUUGAGCCCUCUUUUCCAUCGCCACACUAAAAUAAUUCCUGCUUUCCAUGUGGCCUUUGAAUCCUCUUUCUAUACUCCCCUACCUAACUACCUCUUUGCAGCAGGUCCUGGUUCACUCCCACAACCUUCAGUAUCUUGCAACCUUUUUCUUAAGCAUUCUUUUGUUCUCCAAUUUCCCGGCGAUUCAUGACCUCAAUUACAUCUCCAUUUCAAACUCCUGGCUUUUCUGCUCAAUCACAGAUUCAUCCCACCCUGCCACAAACCUCUGUUCCAAAAGCUGGUUUUGGAUGCCUCAUCCCUUGCUACAGGCCCAACCACCUUUGUGGCCAAGACCCUGUGGCCAGCCCCGGGACAGAAGAAUUAGAUGGCUCAUUUCCUCUGUGAAAAUAUAUACCUCAUGCUCUACUCUGUCCAAGACCCUGAGUUUCAAUUACAAUUGAGAUCUGAUGGUGCACACCUCGCAGAUGCACUAGAAUUUCUAAACUGCAAUUUUACAUGGCUCACUAUCGUGAAUCAAUGAACUGGGACUAUGGUUUUAUACACCUGUCUCUGGGAUGUGCUGUCUAACAAAUCACCCACCAAAAACUCGGAAAUGUAUCCUCUUAAUCUUAUGAUGGAAGUAAAAGUAAAGCAUACACAUUGAUAAAAGAGUUCCUGAUUUCUGCCUGAUUCAAAAAUGUAAAUAAGCAAAGAGUACAAGAUGUCAGUCCCACAUAACCAUCUGCAUUAUGCAUUGAUGACCAAAUACAAUGUCCUGAUGGCAUUUCAAUUAUCUCUGAGAUUGAGUGGACAAAGAUUAUUGGUCACCUAUCUAUACUUACCCGCACAAAUUUCAUCAUCCUUAAUCUUAUAUACAUCCAGAUUGUUUUUUUUAAUUCAAGUUAUUUAAGAGAAUAGCAUGUUUUUUUUGGGUAGUUUCCAGGAUGAAUGUCAAUGUACUUGGAUUUGUGUUACUGACCAGUUAAUUGUUUUAAAAUGAUAGAACAGAAUACUUAGAAUCAGCUUUAUGGACAAUUACAAAGGCAGUUCAAAUCUUACAUUUUAAGGGACUGUCUGCUAGAAAAAGUGCAUCGGGUAUCUGCUUUAGCUGAAUGUAUGUAACAUAUUAGUAAAAAUAAGGCCUUGACUGAUGAUUUUGUUCAUAUUUAACAAUGUGUAUUACAAUUAAAUUUUAAAUGAAGUAACAUGAAUUGUAUAUUUUAAGAUAAAUACUAACUUAUUACUGUAGACAAGUGCUCCUUAUGGAGUCUUUGUAAGCUCUGGUAAUUGACUGCAUUUGGACU